UGUCUGCUGUCUUCAGCUGCCGUUGCCUUUUCUUCUCCUCUCGGUUUAUUCUUUUUUUUUCUUGUGUGUCUGUUUCGUUUUUAUGUUUUUUUGUUGGUUUUGGCGCUGUCGGAAAAUGUCCGUUGCCAUUUCCAUUGCAGCCGUCUUCCGUUUGGGCGCUGUCCCUCCGUCGUUUGCCAUGCCCCCGUGUAAUUAGCUGGGUUCCCUAUCUUCGACAUUGUCUGGCAUUUCUCGGGUAUUUAUGUACUUUGCUGCAGACAGGACAAGCUACAUACAAUUUGGUUCAAAUGCCAUUGAUCUUGAACUUGAUUCAACUCAUAAGUGCAUUCAUCAGACAAAUCUGUCGACAGACAUGCGUUUAUUUCCUUGACUCGUCGCCAGCAAAUAAUUUCAAGCUUGAGUUCGCAUUCAGUGGACUAGAAAGAAAGUCAAUGUCGAAGAGCCUCUAUUAAAUUAGCAUUUCGCUGUCGCCCUGGCACGCUCUUCCGAGUAAUGCCCAUUCCCAUGUCCCAGUCUCCACUGCAACUCCGGAUCCGGACGAGACGGCAUAUCUCCGGUGCUUGGCCAGCUGAUGAUGAUGACUGGAGAUUUCUGGCAGCGAACGGCGCCAGAGAAUCGUAAAAUAUUUUUAUACAAAUAUCGCAGCAGUUAGAACAAAAGAUUUGAUUUGAAAAUGUAACGCUUCACGCCUGCAAAAAUACCGACAAAGAAAUGUCACACAAAAGACAGUGGGAUGCAAGCAGAUCUCUGUUCAGAUACACUAGGUGGACCUUCGGAUAAAUCAGGUGUAAUUGCGUCAUGCGGGUGCAUGGUAAACUAGAUCGACAGUAAACCUAAUCGAGACAGAGACACAUAAGUUGACGCGACAUCGGCACAGCCCAUAAAGUGACCACGCUCCUUGGAUUCCAAGGAUUCCCAGGACAGGUCGUUUUGCGGUGUGUCUCGCCUUGCUGGGUGUGAAGUGUCCCGUGGGCGGCGGUGUCUUUAGUUGCUCAAGAUGCAUGUACCUGAGCACAGUCGUCUGUCGCCAAUUGAAGUAAUAAUUUUCUAUUGUCCUUCGUCGCGCCUUCCUCCAUAAAGCAAAUGUACUUCAGAGCACUGAGAAGGACGCGACAAGUGGCUGGCUCUGGGUACUCUGUUCGGUUCAAGUAGCCAAGUGGCGCCAGACGAUCCAAGUCCCUCGGCCAGAGGACAUCUUUGUGAGUCCGCUAUCUGCCGCCUUGGAUCUGCAGAUGCUGAACGGUAGCGGUCAAGCUGCCAGAGGUUGACAACGACAUAUGUUCGUGCUGGAUAAGAUUGGGCCAGAGAAGAUUAGCUGCCGGGGAGAAGGGAUUUGGAUUGGGUAUACGGGUGGACGGAAGCUCUCGAACAACCCACACAAUCUCUUAGGCAAAAGUUCGACAGAUCAAUAAAUCAUGGACAACCCUAAUUAACCAGUUCGUGGCCACGAAAACCCGUGUGUCACCUGCCUGGAUGCUCGAAAGAUCAGAUGAUCGUGAGCUGCCAAAACUACAAGUUACACAUAAUUUACCACGGACAAAAGGCAAAUGUCAUAAAAUAAUAUAAAUGAUAUAAACGACACUGUCUGCGCCUAAUAAGACAGGGCGUGGCCAAGUCCAGAAUCCAUAGUCCUGGGAAAACGGCAUGGGCAUCAAGAUGCAAACUACACGAUAAAGUUAGCUGGUUUUUUUUCUUGGUUUUUGGUAGAUACUAAGCCGGUGCUCAAGGUGCGUCGAGAGCAUCAUUAAGGCAGGAAGGCAAAGGUAACUACGGGACGGGAGUCCAGACCACAAGCAACGAUGAUUUAAUUUUCCAACACGCUUUCUACCACGCCAGCAUAAAGCAUCGUUGAAUCUCAAAAUCUGGGGUUUUGAAUUUGGAUUUUUCUCGUUUUUUUUUUUUUUUGCUUUUUGGUAUUCCAUGGAUGAUCGAUGGCCUGUCGUUGAGAUGAUCACUUUCUGUAGCUGCCUAGCGGCUACUAGUUGAGAUACUUAACGACGAUCCAAGAGGGCGCCACUCGGGCCUUAUAAUUUGUUAAGAUGUUUGGAUCGAUGGAUGGAUGGAUCGAUCGAUGGAUGAUUGGGGAUGCCUGGAUUGAUUGCCCUUUCUCUGCAUAAUAUUUAUAUCCAUGGAUACCAAACGUUGAAGCGAGAAAACAAGCAAUAAAUACGUCAGCAGCCAAUACGUCAAAGGCAUUUCGACUGACAGACUGACUGCGCUGGCAACUUAAAAUGCACAUUAUUAAUUAGUUGUUAUAAUUGCAUUUAAAAAUCCAUUAAUAUUUAUAGAAUUCAUAAUAAAUAAUGAGGAUCGGUCUGGCAUGGACCAAACUGGAGCUCUCGAGACGGCGACAUCGACGCCUCCAAAUGCCAAAAUGGUAUUUUUCGUUGGACAGGACGGACUUUUGGACCAAGUUUGGCAAUUUAUGCGUCCAGAUUCGUGAUGUGUGUGGCAUAUAUGAAGCCCAGUCACAAGUUGCCUUUGACAAAUUCUCCAAGAAUGUGUCCGCAAGAUUUCAGGGCAUUGCAGCGGGCAUAUCAGCAAUGUAGUGCGGUUUGUUUCACUUCACAUAAGGAUUCAGUUAAUCUAGAGAUUAAGUACCCUUCUCUGGUUGAAUAUUACAAGCUAACUAUAUACUAUAUUAAACCGAAGAAAAAAAAAUAUUUCUCUGAACUUAUUUUAUGAAAAAGUUGAUAUAUAUUGAAAUAACAAGUUAUGAAAAGUUAAAUUAUAAAAACUAAGACCUCAGCAAUCAUGUUUUUCCAGGAUCUGAUACUUAGUUGUUUUUAAUGAUUCCAAAUUGCACCUAAAUAGGUAUUUUAUGAGGCUAGUAUACUUUGAAUACUGUGAAUUUUUGUAAUAAAUGUUUCUAUUUAAAAAACUCUA
ensembl:ncRNA lncRNA:CR46451 long non-coding RNA:CR46451